rnacentral:rRNA from 1 species
UAGUCUAAGGUCGUAGGAGGUUAUACAGGCAAAUCCGUAUAACAAUACUCCGAGAACUGAAAGGCUUUUUGAAGUCUUCGGAUGGAUAGAAGAACCCCUGAUGCCGUCGAGCCAAGAAAAGUUUCUAAGUUUAGCUAAUGUUGCCCGUACCGUAAACCGACACAGGUGGGUGGGAUGAGUAUUCUAAGGCGCGUGGAAGAACUCUCUUUAAGGAACUCUGCAAAAUAGCACCGUAUCUUCGGUAUAAGGUGUGGUUCGCUUCGUAUUAGGAUUUACUCCGAAAGCGAAGAAACUUACAACAAAGAGUCCCUCCCGACUGUUUACCAUAAACACAGCACUCUGCUAACUCGUAAGAGGAUGUAUAGGGUGUGACGCCUGCCCGGUGC